rnacentral:rRNA from 1 species
AACGAACGCUGGCGGCAGGCUUAACACAUGCAAGUCGAACGCCCCGCAAGGGGAGUGGCAGACGGGUGAGGAACGCGUGGGAAUCUACCCAGUUCUACGGAACAACAGUUGGAAACGACUGCUAAUACCGUAUACGCCCUACGGGGGAAAGAUUUAUCGGAAUUGGAUGAGCCCGCGUAAGAUUAGCUAGUUGGUGGGGUAAUGGCCUACCAAGGCGACGAUCUUUAGCUGGUCUGAGAGGAUGAUCAGCCACACUGGGACUGAGACACGGCCCAGACUCCUACGGGAGGCAGCAGUGGGGAAUAUUGGACAAUGGGCGCAAGCCUGAUCCAGCCAUGCCGCGUGAGUGAUGAAGGCCUUAGGGUUGUAAAGCUCUUUCACCGAUGAAGAUAAUGACGGUAGUCGGAGAAGAAGCCCCGGCUAACUUCGUGCCAGCCGCCGCGGUAAAAC